rnacentral:rRNA from 1 species
CCUUAGAUGUUCUGGGCCGCACGCGCGCUACACUGAUGGAUUCAUCGAGCUUACCACCUAGAUCGAGAGAUCCGGGUAAUCUUUUUAACGUCCAUCGUGCUGGGGAUAGAUGAUUGUAAUUAUUCAUCUUCAACGAGGAAUUCCUAGUAAACGCAAGUCAUCAACAUGCAUUGAUUACGUCCCUGCCCUUUGUACACACCGCCCGUCGCUACUACCGAUUGAAUGGAUUAGUGAACUUCACAGAUUGUGGCAUGAUUAGGUUCUCCUAGUCAUGCUUCGGAGAAGUGAAUUAAACUUGCUCAUUUAGAGGAAGUAAAAGUCGUAACAAGGUU